rnacentral:lncRNA from 1 species
CAAAGAAUUUAUGUUUAAGCAGAAUUAAUUUAUCCUUAUUCAUAAAUUCUAUGAAAAAAGAUAUUGUUUUUCACAUAUUUAAUAAUUUUAGUUUUAAUAAAGAUUUCACCAUUUUUUAUAAGUACAACAAUAACAGCUUACUUUAAGAGUCACCUCUAUUAUUUAUUAUUUAUUCGCUCAAAUUAUUAUUAUUAGAAGCCUGUGUUUCAGGCAUAAUGUUUGUUUGUAGGUUGAAAAGAAUUGAAUAAUUAUAAUAUCAACCAUUAAUUGAGUUCGGAAUGUGUGCCAGGCAUUGUUCUAAGAGUUUUACUCAUUUAAUUCAUUAACUUAUCCUAGUCAUCUAAGUACAUAUUAUUAUCUGCCCUGAUACAGAUGAAUGAUUUCUUUACCUUCCCUUGUUCAUAUGGCUGGUAAGCGGGAGGGCGCUAGGAUUUUAACCCACGCAUCGCAGUGCCCGAACCCUUGGUCUUAACUUCUAGGCUAUCCCUGCUAUCUGGAGCCUCUCAAUUCAGUGUAAAAGCUACAAUGCAAAGCUGUAGUUCCACCUACAUGAUAAGUACCAGCUGUGAUAGACUCAUGAUAGACACAGAAAGGAAGUGCUAGGGGAAAGUCGGGAAAGAGUUGAUGGAUGAACUAAACAUGAACUAAGUUUGGAAGGAUGAGUAGAGUUUCACUAGGAGCACAAGGGAAAACAGGCAGUUUUAGGCAGAGCAAACAAUAUGAGUAAAGGUAGGAGGUAAGAAAGGGCACAAGUCUUGAGGGGACAAGCAGAGCACAGAGCACUUGUGGGAGAGCAGCAGAGAUAGAAGCAGGAACCUGGACAGCACAGUUGCUUCAUGGGCCCUGGGCCCCUCCAGGAAUCUUGGUUAGCUGUGGGAAGGUCUGAACUCAUAUUCAUGUUGUCAUGCUGUUGAAAAAUAUCCUAUAUGGUAGUUCUCAUUAAGCAUUUACCAUUACUUAGCUAUAUCUUAUUUCUCUAGAAAAAAUUAUAUAGUGUUUAUAAUGGGAGAAAUGGCACUGGGGCAACUGGAGGAAGGAAUGAGCACCCUCUCUACAAAUUCUUGUCUUGAUGAUUCUGUAGUGUUCAAGAUAGUUAAAAUAACACCGCUCACCAAGUACAUGUAUACAUGCCACAUAAUUUCAUUAUCAUCAUAAUUUUGAGAGUGAAGAGUCACUUACAAUCAUCUCCAUUUUACCAAUAAAGAAACAGUGACCUUAAAAUGAUGAGAGACUUAUGACUAGAAAGUUGCCUAAAUUAGACUGGAACACAUGUGUUCCUGUAAAUUAUAUCAAAAGCCUCAUGCCAAAUAACACUCAUUCUUAGGGUGAAGUUGUGGGAAAUGAGGAGCAAAGACAAAUGCAGCUUAUGUUAACUGACUGUCCUAUCUACUGAGGAUUCCACAUCAUAUGAACACUAGGAAAAGCCAAUGCUGUCUGAGAAGUCCUAAAAGCAUUUAUUGUCCUGAAAACAUUUUGUUGAAUUGCAGUGUCACAUCUUUCAGCUAAUAUGUCUUUUCAUUUCCAAAAAUUUUGGCCUUCUACAUUUCAAUCUAUAUAGAAAUUAUUGAUUUCUUCUAAGUAAAAUAAUAUUGAUCCUCCAGCUAGUUUUAUUCUGCUACUUAAGAUACAGAAAGAAACUUGUAUUUAUUAUUUUUCUCCAAAACUGACCAUUUAAAUACUUUUCAAUUCUUUACUGCUUUGCAUAUGUAGUUAAGAUAAAUAUUUGAAAUACAUUCGUAAAUAUUUUAUAAUUGAACUAUGUAUACAUGACGUUUCGAGAAAAAAAUACACACAUUUUCUCAAGUUUAGCUAGAUUUGCUGGAUACCUCCUAAGUUAUUUUUAGGUGUUUAAAUCUUAUCCUAUAUAAAAGCCUACCAUCUGCUAAGAAUCCACUGGGGAUUAUAAAGAAGAAGUGAAAGUUUUAAUUUAUUCAUAUAGUUCUUCAUCAUUCUGUAAGUUAACUAAUGUGCUGGGUUUUUGCAGAUAGUGAGAGUGAAGGUCAGCAGAGGAAGCAAGAAGCUGUCAGGGUGUGAUGUAUCAGCUACAGCAACACACGAGAACGCUCCAACAUUGUCCUUAUAGUAACCUAAUGAGGAAGUUAUCAUUCCGCAUAUCAGGGGGUAGAAGCUGAGAUGUUAAGUGAUUUGCUGCAGGUCUUUACCCACUCGUUUAUGGUAGAGUUAGGGUAUAGACUUUCAAACAAUAUUCUUCCUUCAGCUCCAUAAUAGAGAUAAUGUAAAUUUUAAAGUUCAACUUGAGGAGUUCCUGUUGUGGCUCAGCAGUAAAACCCCAGUAAUAUCCAUGAAGACAUGGGUUCGAACCCUGGCCUCACUGAUUGGGGGCCAGUGAGCUGCCGUGUAGAUCACAGAUGCAACUUUGAUCUGGCAUUGCUGUGGCUGUGGUGUAGUCUGGCAGCUACAGCUCUGAUUCAACCCCUAGCCUGGGGACUUCCAUAUGCCAUAGGUGCGCCCUUAAAAAGACAAUAAAAUAAAUACAAUACAAUACCAUACAAUACAAUACAAUGAUAUGCUAUUUUGUAAAACUUUAGAACAUCUUUUAGGGCUAGAUAAUUGACUAAUGAGUUCUGCAUAUGGAAGCUACGGAGAUACUUCAUAAACUAGUCCCACACAAUAAUAUUUGGGCCACUUAAAGAAAAAUCUUUUGUUGGGUAGAAAUGAAGCUAUAACCAGUCACCUAAAUACUAACCAAAGAAAACUGCCCAUUGCAAAAUUGGAAAAGAAGUCAAGGUUGCCCUAUUGAAAGCAAUUAUGACAAACAAAAGGAUUUUAUUUAAAUUAUUACUGGUGAAGUCACUUUUUAGGCAGGACAUAGGGUAUUCAAAAUUAAUUUCAUGUCAUGGUUUAAUUACUAAUGAAUUUGCUUUUUUGAAAGUCUGAUGACAAAGAUGACACCCAUCUAAUUUCAAUGGAAGCGUUAGUCAUUGAAUUAGUUAAUUAAGAAUAUUAUAACCUCAAUUUAAAUUUUUUAUUAGUCUCAGUAUGCAAAUUUUUUAACCUUCAUAAGCUCCUCUCCCCUCUUCAAAAAAAUUUGGGGGGUAAGAACAAAUCCAAAUUUAAUUAUAAUAAUAAUAUGUUUAGAUUCUAAUUCUUAGACUGAAUUUUAUAAGUCAUUUUGUUGUUAUUUAUCAUUUCUCUGAGGAUCAGUGUCCUUAUAAUUAUAUCUGUGUUUUCUAUCUAAUCCAAUUGUUGUAGCAAUAAAUUGUAAAUACUAAGUACUGCAAUUAUUAUUAGAGAUGAGGUGAGUUUUUCUCACACACAUGAGAAUAUAUGAAAAUUUAAAUUUUUUAAGUACAAAAAUUCCCAGGAUUAAAAUUCAAGGAAGCAAAAGAAAGAUAUAUUUCACAUGUUCCUUCAUUUCUAUAAUUAUCUUUACUUCUCUAGCAGACUGGAAUAUAAAAUCUUCCACUUUGUUACCUCACAAAUAAGAAAAGAUGACAGUUGUUAGGUGACUUCAGAUGUUUUCUAAUUUAUCUUAAGGGUGGAGUUGGAUUUUUGUCACAGAAGUGUUAUUUUAGUGAAGAUUCUUGAACACAUGGAAAUGUGUUAUUUUUAUUGAAUGCCAUCUUUUUUUCCAUUAUACAUAAGAUAAGACUGCAUUUUGUACAAACAAAGAAAAAGGAGGGGGCAUGUAUAGAUGUCUAGCUGAAUUCUGAAGUUGACUCUCACAAAGUCUCAAAAUGUUGAGAUGAUUUUAGAAGAUUCAUACUGUAAGUUAAAAACAAAAUUCACAUUAAGUUAAUAAAAUAAUGAGAGUUAACAAUUUGAAGAAAUAAUUUUUAACUUAGGUACAACUUUUAUCAUGUUCUGAUCUUAUUUUAUCACAAGGAUGUAUAUGUAAGGGGUCUUGCCACCUCGCUUUCCAACUAAAACAUGUCCCUAUCUGCCUAAAAGUCAUCUACACCAGUUAUCUCCUUUGCAAAGAAAAUUAGAAUGAAAUUGGAAAAUUAGAAUGAAAUUGGAAAAUUAGAAUUCAUGAAUUCCUGAUGGCACAUAAACAAACUCAGUUUUCAAUUAUGAGAGAAUAACCAUUUGUGAUACACAGCUAAAUGUUAAAAUCUCCAGUAAGUUUAAACUAAUUAUUUUAUGAAAACAAAUUUCUGAAGUGACCCCUUAUCCAUCUUACCAAUGCAAGCUGUAUUUCUCUUGACACAAGAUUAAACUUAUAUUAGUCUGAUCCUCCAGAGAAACAGAAUCAAUAGGAGAUAUAAACAGAUGUAGAUAGAGACAGAGAUGCAUAUACAUAUACAUGCAUGUAAACACAGACACAAACAUAUACACAUAUAAAUAGAGGUUUAUAUAUGGAAUUGGCUCACACAGUUAUGGAGGCUGAGAAUCCCAAGACCUGCCAUCCUUCAGCCAGCAGGAAACCCAGAAGAGACAAUGGAAUAAGUUCCAGUCCAAUUCCAAGUUUAAAGGCAAGAGGAGACUGAAGUCCUAAUUCAAGAACAGGCAGAGAGGGUGAAUUCUCCCUUAUUCAGCCUUUUUGUUCUAUUUAGGCUUUCAACAGAUUGAACAAGACCCACUCACAUUGAGGAGUGCAAUUGGCUUUCCUGAGUCUACUAAUUUAAAUAUCAAUGUCAUCCAGAAACACCUUCCCAGACAUCCAAAAUAAGGUUUGACCAAGACCUGGGCACCCCAUGCUCAGUCAAGUUGACAUCUAAAAUCAACCAUCACAAAGUUUAUGCUCACAAGGUAAUGUGCACAUAAUGACAUACGCUUAGUCACAUUUACUCUUGUAACUUGUGUGGUGGUAAGUGGAGAGAGGAACAGGAAUUUAAGUCAGUUAGGUCUUUGCUUUAAAACACCAUCGAGGUGGUGUUUUAGCCAGAGAGGAAUGAGCCAUCUGCAAAUAGGAUCUGGUUAAAAUUAGGGGGGUUGGUGCCACUGGUCAUGUUUGCAAAUCAUUCAUGGAGGAAAAAAAAAUCAUAGAACUAUAUUUACUUACAAAUAGUGACUGAAACAACUAUUUGGUGUACUAUAGGAAAGUGCAAAAAACCCUAACUUUAUUGCUCAUCUUUUUAAUGUAUGUAAAAAUAUUUUCUGAGUGCUGACCAUAGACUAAACAAUAGAUGAAGUGCUAGAGAUUAAGAAGUACGACAGCCAGUAAGACCUUUAAAGUUGAAUUUGUUAAGAAACUGAGCUUUGAGUUGUGAGGUUGAAAUGAGAGACGGUCAAGAGAGAAGGCUCUAAUCAUUAUUCACUUGUUUCUCUCUCGCUCUCUCUUUUCAUUUGUCCAUACCCUUGGCAGUGGAACCUCUGGGGUCAGGGAUCAAAUCCAAGACCUACACCAUAGCUGUGACAAAACUGUGUAACAGUGGGAACUCCAUUCUUAUAUUUUUAUAUGAAAAUUUACAAAUACAGCAAAUGGAAAGAAGGUGAACUCCCAUUCACUCAUCAUCUAUAUUUGAUUAUUAAAACUCAGUUAUGUCAGUUCUUGGUCCUUUUUUUUUUUUUUUUUUGAUACUGGGUUACAUUUUCCUAUUUCUUCAUAGACAGAGUAAUUUGGUAUUACGUCCUCCAAAAAGUAUCAAUGCUUUUGUCUCAGCAAGCAAUACAUUUGGUUGGUAACCAACUGCAAACUCCAUCUGAGGCAGUAGGUCCAGUCUCAUUUCAGUUCAAACUUUAGCUGGGCUCCUUGGAAUCUGGUCUGUGCAUGGGUAGUUACAAAGCAGCCAGAGACCUAGGGAGAAUUGAUAUGCAGAAUAUGGGGUAUCCUUUUUCCUUUUCAGGAUUCUACUUUCACUCUCCAGUGACUCUCUUGCCCCCCAUACCAUCUUCUUAGUCUUCAGGUCACAAAGAUUGUGAGGUUUCUUUCAAAUCUUAGUCAUCCUAAGUGGUGCUAACCUCAAGCU